CUCCGAAGCAGCUGGAGGAAGCCAGCAGGACCGGAGAAGGAAAAGGAAAAAGAAUAAAAGAAGUGGACUUAGUCACCGGAACAUUCACCGUGGGAAAGAAAGACAACAACACCGACCUUCAAAAUCAGAAAUAAUUCCCUCCAAGUGUGGAUUAACUCCAGAAUCCGACAUCUUUCUCCGGCUGGUUGGAUCUCCAAACUGAAGAAGUGUACCAAGCUCAGCAAGAUCUUUAACCUUCUGUGGACCAGCCACAAAGUUGUGUAUAAAAUGAAGU